AGACGUUUGUAGUUUUUCCAAGUCCAAGAAGGGGGGAAGACAAGCCGUGGUCAGUUCAGUCCGAGUUCUCAAAGCAGGAGAUGGCGUCCGUCAAGAAGACGACGGAAGGUCAAGCUAAUAAGAGUAAGCACAGGUUUGCACAAACAAAUGCCCACACAAUCCCUCCCGCCGUCUGACCCUGGAUUCCAAUCAACUUACGUCACAGCACAGGAAAGCACACAAGUCUUCAGGGAAACGUCCCACACACACACGGAUCCCAAGCGUUUGCCCAGAUUACCUUGCCCAACGCAAUUUGCAAUUGCUCUCAAGCCCCAUUUUAUGCCAGUUACAAAUCUUCAUCACUGUCAGCUGUCCUCCUUAACCCGGGCGUAUCUUCAUCACUGUCAGCUGUCCUCCUUAACCCGGGCGUUUCCUCAUCACUUUCCUCGUCAGAGCUGGAACACCUCUGACUACGCCCAACAGCAUCUCCAGCUGUGGAUCCCGUCCCAUCCCUCCAGCUAAACCAUGGGUCUAAUCCUGAAGGUCCCCAUUCAUCUUCUGUCCCAUCAUGGCCAGUGGCACCCACUUCCUCCCUUACCCGAGUCCAAUCCAUCUCAUCCUCCUCUGAGCUAACCAGCCCCUCCUCCAUUCUCUCCGUAAACCCUUCGAAAGACUCCUCGUCAGAUGGUGCUGCAAAUAUGUCUCGCAGUCUUUUUCUCUCUCGCUCCUCGAGAGUAUCUGACUCUCGAGGAGUCUUACGCCCACGUCUGUCAGUAACAGAGCCAUGAGGCUCAAUCAUAACAUUCCACAUUCUUCUACUUUCAACCCACUUUCAACUGAAUAAUUCUCUAAGCUUCUGCAAAUCAGGUGAGACUCUAGUCCCCGCGGUUGGUGUGGACAAGAGACAGGGCCUUCUCAUUGGUGGCCCCUUGGCCGUGGAACUCCGUCCUCAGUACUAGUUGAAUAGCUCCUUUUCUUCUAGUCUUCAGAAAGAAAGUUAAAACAUGGCUAUGAGACCAAGCUUUUGGAGAAUAACUAUAGUGCAAUAAAUGAAUGUAGAAUCUGUGCAAUAACAACUGGAAUGGCCCUGGAUUAAGACUUUGGAUUAUGUGAUUUUAAUAAUUGAUGUGAUUGUUUUUAGAUGUUUUAAUUCUCUGAUUUUUAAUGUAGAUGUUUACCAGUUGUAUGUUAUUUUAAGGCACUUAAUUGUUGCCAAUAUGUGAGGCUGCUCUGAGUCCCCCUCGGGGUUGAGAAGGGCAGGGUACAAAUAUGAUAAAUAAAUAAAUUCUUCAUUAUUUUACUACCUUAUUAGCUGAGUUGCAGAACUGAACACAGCCCUCUUGUCAAAAUUGGAGAAUGUAUACCAUUGUAUCUCACUAGGAGAUUACCCCUGAAAAUAGAGGCGUUUUUCAAUAAAUAUCUCAUAGAGUCUCAACCAAUUAAACAUAGUUUAUGGCAGCCACAAAAAUGAAGUUUCUGGAGUAUAACAACUACUUUCCCAAGUAAGUACCGCAUGAUGAAACAGAAACAAACACUUUUAAACCAGGAACAGAUUUUUUUUUCAAAUUUUGUUACAUAGUCUUAUGCAUACAUUUUUAUCAUCAGUGAUGCUACUAGGAGAAAAAAGUUCAGCAAAAUUACAGUGACUCCAUUCCACCAUAGGAAGAAGGUCACAACUGUGCUCUCUAGGGACCUUAUCACAUGGAGGCCGAGAAGCCAGGGGAAAUCUUGGGGCAGUGUACAACUUUGUCCCCUUACAAUGGUGGGAUCCUAUCCCACUAUGUUUCUCUGCUGUCCCCAUCUUCCUCCCACAUCCUCCCCAGCUUCUUCUAUGAGAAGUUGGGAACCCAACUGAGCCCACCACCAUAGGUAGCCCUGCAACAGCAUGGCAGCAGCGCAGAGAAACACUGAAAAGUCUCCAUGUGAUAAAGCCUUAAAUAGAAUUCAGUCCAGAUAGAUAGGCUCACUUACAUUUUCUCUGCAGGAAAUGUAAUAUAAUAUUUAGCAUAUGAUACAAAGACACUGUGUAUUGCUUAGACUGCUUCACAAAACAUUGUCAUAUGGCUUUUACCUUAGAUCUCGUACACUGGAAUAUCAAACAUACAGAAAAGACAGAUGCCCUACUGUUAUGCUCUAGUUAAAGUGGAACAUGAAAGCUGUCAUCUAACGAGUCAUUGCCCGCAACUAUCUUGGGUUUUCCUUUGAGGCCUCCUGUCUGAGUAUUUAGACAGGACACCUCAACCCCACUUUAUAAGACUUAAUAAGAUCACAGCAAAUUGGUGCCUCAAGUUGAUACAUCAGGCUGUUCUGUCUCCCAGAAGGGGAAAAACCAAUACUCAUUUGCAUUUAUUUCUGGAUUGAAAUGUAUUUAGAUUUGGAAAUCACCGUAUAGAUCUUUGAAACAUACAGAGAGAGAGACCACACAUAGACAAAUAUUUAACAUGGUUUUUGAGAUAUACUUCUCUUUCUACAAUUAUAAAUAUAAAUUACUGAUUAUAUUUGUUCUUAUGGAAAUAGAAGAAUCAUUAAUAGAAUUCUUAU
ensembl:lncRNA